rnacentral:lncRNA from 1 species
GUUCUUAGUCCCAGAGGUUAAAGGCUGCACCAGCCCCAGUGCGAAGAAGGGGAAGGAGGCUCACAUUUUGCAUGUGCAGCAAGGCCCAGCGGAGACCAGCUCUCAGCCCGUGGAGGUGAAGGUGACUGUGGUCUGCCCUGAAGCAAAGCCGCUGCAGGAUCUGGAAAUACUGCUGAUCCUCCAAAGCCAACCCAACGUGACCUGGAACAUUGAUACGCAACGCACCGUGAGCAUCAUGGCGUCUGGGAAAUACCGGAUCACCAGAUUCCCC